rnacentral:rRNA from 1 species
AGUGGGGAAUAUUGGACAAUGGGCCACAAGCCUGAUCCAGCAAUUCUGUGUGCACGAUGAAGGUCUUCGGAUUGUAAAGUGCUUUCAGUUGGGAAGAAGAAAGUGACGGUACCAACAGAAGAAGCGACGGCUAAAUACGUGCCAGCAGCCGCGGUAAUACGUAUGUCGCAAGCGUUAUCCGGAUUUAUUGGGCGUAAAGCGCGUCUAGGCGGAAAAAUAAGUCUGAUGUUAAAAUGCGGGGCUCAACUCCGUAUUGCGUUGGAAACUGUUUUUCUAGAGUACUGGAGAGGUGGGCGGAACUACAAGUAUAGAGGUGAAAUUCGUAGAUAUUUGUAGGAAUGCCGAUGGAGAAGUCAGCUCACUGGACAGAUACUGACGCUGAAGCGCGAAAGCGUGGGGAGCAAA